rnacentral:rRNA from 1 species
UAGAUCUUGGUGGUAGUAGCAAAUAUUCAAAUGAGAACUUUGAAGGCCGAAGAGGGGAAAGGUUCCAUAUGAAUGGCACUUGCACAUGGGUUNUGCUUGAAGAGUCAGGCGCGAGUCGACAUCUGAAUUGUAGUCUGGAGAAGCGUUCUCAGCGGCAGGUCGGGCCCAAGUCCCCUGGAAGGGGGCACCGAAGAGGGUGAGAGCCUCGUCGUGCCCAGACCUUGUUGCACCAUGAGGCGUUGUCGGCAAGUCGGGUUGUUUGGGAAUGCAACCCCAAUCGGGCGGUAAAUUCCGUCCAAGGCUAAAUAUGGGCAAGAGACCGAUAGCAAAAUAGCAAACAAGUACCACAAGGGAAAGAUGAAAAGGACUUUGAAAAGAGAGUCAAAGAGUGCUUAAAAUUGUCGGAAGGGAAGUGGAUGGGGGUUGGUGAUGCGCCUUGCUUGGAUGUGGAACGGUGACAAGCCGGUCCGCCGAUUGACUCGGGGUGUGGACCGAUGCGAAUUGCGGCAGCGGCCCAAGCCUGGGCUGUAGCCAUGGCUGUGGAGACAUCGUUGCCACAAUCGUGUUGGGCAGCACGCGCCGUCUUGAUGUGCUUCGUCAUCUGCAUGUUCCUGGCGUCAGCCUGCGGGCUCCCCAUUCGGCUUGUCUUGAAACAUGGACCAAGGAGUUUGACAUGUGUGCGAGUCAACGGGCUAGUAAACCCGUAAGGCAUAAGGAAGCUGAUUGGCGAGAUCCCCUUGAGGGUUGCACCGCCGACUGACCUUGAUAUUCUAAGAAGGGUUCAAGUGAGAGCAUACCUGUCGGGACCUGAAAGAUGGUGAACUAUGCCUGAGCAGGGCGAAGCCAGAGGAAACUUUGGUGGAGGCCCGCAGCAANUUGGAGCCCAUGUGUGAGUUCUAUCGGGUAAAGCCAAUGAUUAGAGGCGAUCGGGGGCAACGCCCUUGACCUAUUCUCAAACUUUACAUAGGUAGGACGACGUGGUUGCUUUGUUGAGCCGCGCCAAGGAAUCGAGAGCUCCAAGUGGGCCAUUUUUGGUAAGCAGACUUGGCGAUGUGGGAUGAAUUGGAAGCCGGGUUACGGUGCCCAACUGCGCGCUAACCUAGAACCCACAAAGGGUGUUGGUCGAUUUAGAUACCAGGACGGUGGUCAUGGAAGUCGAAAUCCCCUAAGGAGUGUGUAACAACUCACCUACCGAAUCAACUAGCCCCGAAAAUGGAUGGUGCUAAAGCGUGCGACCUAUACCUAGUCUUCUGGGCAAGUGCCAGGCCCCGAUGAGUAGGAGGGCACAGUUGUUGUCGCAAAACCGGGGGCGCGAGCCUGGGCGGAGUGGCCGUCGGUGUAGAUCUUGGUGGUAGUAGCAAAUAUUCAAAUGAGAACUUUGAAGGCCGAAGAGGGGAAAGGUUCCAUGUGAAUGGCACUUGCACAUGGGUUAGUCGAUCCUAAGAGACGGGGGAAGCUAGUCUGAUAGCAUGUUGCACGCGAGCUUUGAAAGGGAAUUGGGUUAAAAUUCCUGAACCGGGGCAUGGUGAUUGACAGCAACGUUAGGGAGUCCAGAGACGUCGGUGAGGGCCUCGAGAAGAGUUAUCUUUUUUGUUUAACAGCCUACCCACCCUGGAAACGGAUUAGCCAGAGGUAGGGUCCAGCGGUUGGAAGAGAACUGCACUUCACGUGGUGUCCGGUGCACCCUGGGUGGCCCUUGAAAAUUCGGAGGACCGAGUACCUUCCACGCCUGGUCGUACUCAUAACCACAUCAGGUCUCCAAGGUAAAUAGUCUCUGGCCAAUAGAACAAUGUAAUCAAGGGAAGUCAGCAAAAUGGAUCCGUAAUCUUGGGAAAAGGAUUGGCUCUGAGGGUUGGGCACGGGGGUCCUAGUCCCGAACCUGUCAGCUGUCGGUGGAUUGCCCAAGCUGCUCCCUCGGCAAGAGCGGGUCGCUGUGUGCCGGCUGAGGAACGGACUAGGAACGAUCGCUUCGGUGGUCUUCCUUGGGCGUCAAAUAGUCAACUCAGAACUAGUACAGACAAGGGGAAUCCAACUGUUUAAUUAAACAAAGCAUUGUGAUGGUCUUUACGGAUGCUCAUGCAAUGUGAUUUCUGCCCAAUGCUCUGAAUGUUAAAGUGAAGAAAUUCAACCAAGCGCAGGUAAACGGCGGGAGUAACUAUGACUCUCUUAAGGUAGACAAAUGCUUCGUUAUCUAAUUUAGUGACGUGCAUGAAUGGAUUAAUGAGAUUCCCAUUAUCCUUGUCUACUAUCCAGUGAAACCACAGUCAAGGGAACGGGCUUGGCAGAAUCAGCGGGGAAAGAAGACCCUGUUGAGCUUGACUUUAGUCUGACUUUGUGAAAUUACUUGAGAGGUGUAGGAUAAGUGGGAGCCGAAAGGCGAAAGUAAAAUACCACUACUUUUAACGUUCUUUUACUUAUUCUGUGUAUCAGAGGUAGGGCAUUGCCCCUUUUUUUGGGCCCAAGGCCCGCCUCGGAGGGCCGAUUCGGGCAGAAGAAUUGUUAGGCAGGGAGUUUGGCUGGGGCAGCACAUAUGCUAAAAGAUAAUGCAUGUGUCCUAAGAUGAGCUCAACGAGAACAAAAAUCUUGUGUGGAACAAAAUGGUAAAACUCGUUUGAUUCUGAUUUCCAGUACGAAUACGAACCGUGAGAGUGUGGCCUAUCAAUCCUUUAGACUUUCGGAAUUUGAAGCUAGAGGUGUCAGAAAAGUUACCACAGGGAUAACUGGCUUAUGGCAGCCAAGCGUUCAUACCGACGUUGCUUUUUGAUCCUGUGAUGUCGGCUUUUCUUAUCAUUGUGAAACAGAAUUCGCCAAGUGUUGGAUUGUUCACCAACCAAUAGGGAACGUGAGCUGGGUUUAGACUGUCAUGAGAUAGGUUAGUUUUACCCUACUGAUGACAGUUUUGCAAUAGUAAUUCAACGUAGUACGAGAAGAACCAUUGAUUCGCACAAUUGGUCAUCGCGCUUGGUUGAAAAGCUAGUAGUGCGAAGCUACCAUGCGCUGGGUUAUGACUGAACGUCUCUAAGUCAGAAUUUGGGCUAGAAGCAAAGGGUGCGCCUGUCGCUCGAUUGCCAAUCUACAAUAAGGGCCUCAGCACCCAGAGGCACGUGUCGUUGGUGAAGCCCUCACGGCGGACAAGCCUCAACUAUUCAAGAUCACCUCUAAUCU